UGUCCCCGGUUGGCGCGUCCGUCUGUGCGCCUUCAGUUACUGCGUCACCCGCUGCGGGCUGUGGAAACGUGCUGAGCAGCAUGGGUUCUCCUCCUCCCUCGUGUGUGUCUGUGUGUGUCCACUGACAGGCUUGUGCGCGCUGCUGAUGUCUCCUGACUGGGACCGCUGCUGCUUCGUCUCCACUGUUGUCUCCUACCGCUGCUCCUCUGUCUGCAGUUGCUGAGGGCCGGUGGUGUUGGUGCUGGUGUCCCUCUCCUUGUGUGCUGUGCUCUGGGGGAAUUGGUUCAUGUUACGAGUGUAGUAUGUCACGUAUGCUUGGGGUGUUUUUACAUUAUUUUGGGGUGAUUCCUUCCCCUUCACUAGCCCCAUCCACCUGGUGGCCUAGCAACUGAUUUGAUUUCUUUUGUUCCUUUUUCUUUGCCCCUCGUGUGAAUGGUGUUUAAUUGGUUUUUAAAAGUGCAUUUUUAAAAAAUUGUAAUAAAACAUUUGAAUUUGGA